UCGAGAAUUUUUCUCAAUGGGCGAAAGCCUGAAGGAGCGACGCCGCGUGGGGGAUGAAUGGCUUCGGCCCGUAAACCCCUGUCAUUUGCGAACAAAUUAUUUGACCUAACACGUUAAGUAUUGAUUGUAGCGAAAGAGGAAGGGACGGCUAACUCUGUGCCAGCAGCCGCGGUAAUACAGAGGUCCCAAGCGUUGUUCGGAUUCACUGGGCGUAAAGGGUGCGUAGGUGGCUUUUUAAGUUUGGCGUGAAAUCUUCAGGCUCAACCUGAAAACUGCGUCAAAUACUAUUAAGCUGGAGUAGUGGAGGGGAGAUUGGAAUACUUGGUGUAGCAGUGAAAUGCGUAGAUAUCAAGUGGAACACCUGUGGCGAAGGCGAAUCUCUGGACACUUACUGACACUG
rnacentral:rRNA from 1 species